ensembl:lncRNA
UCCUGGCCUUGGGCCAGGCCGUGCUCUCUGCCGGGAGACCCACCCAGCCCACGCCUCCUUCUCCUCCAUGUACCACCUCUUGGAAGACCAUCCUGAUGGCUCCCUCCCUUGCCUGGGUGGUUUAGGGGCCCUUCACUCGCUCACCACGGGGGAACAUGACUGCAUGUAGCGGUCCGUUUCCGCGCUCACCUGCUGGCUUCCCCACCAGGCGGGAACCCCUGGGCGGCCCGAGCCUGGAAUCGCUCGCUCUUGUACCUCAGAGCGUGGAGCCUUGGCCAGAUGAACGAGUCCAGAUAGAAAAAUAAGAUGAGCACGUGUUGCCCGAAUGGGAUUCGCCAUCUCGCUUCUCGGAGAAGUUACUGAUUGGGGCUGAAAGGGCCACUUGGGCACCUAGAGACGGCUCUUCAAGCAGUGACCGCAGCGUACUCGCAAACCUCGGGAAGGCCGUUGAAGGUUGGCGGGGUCUGGGACCACGGCCCUGGGUGCCACAGCAGUGCCCGAGCAGAGCGGGCUCGGUCCCUGUCACGAAGGCAGAGAAGCUGCUUCUCUGGGCUCACGAGGCAGCUGUCCCAUGCUCUGCUGAGCACGGUAAGUGCCCGCUCGCCUGGCCUGCCCGACAGCCGGGGGCAGUUCCGGGGCAGGACCUGAGCUCCGAACCAGAGCUCGGGUAGGGUGGGGGCUCGGGAUCGAGGUGGUGGCCUUAUUCCGCAGUCUCUUCCUGAUCCUGCCCUCCCCAUCAGGUCUGCCAGCAGCUGCUGGCGUGGAGAGGGUGGGGUUUCUUAGUAUGAGAAAAAUCAGAAAAAUCGGGAGCAUUCCCCUAAAAAUCAUGCUACCCCUCCUUUCAUACAAGGCAUGGGGAGGUGAAGGGAUUCUCUCGGAGCAGAGCUGGGUCAGGGCCGGGCGAUUCCAGAACGGGGAGCAGGUGCAAGACACCUCUGAGGCUGUGGGUCCAUAAAAAUACUAUCUCCAGAGCUGCGUUCUUUUUUUUGCUUUCCCCUCACUUUGUUUACUUACUUAGGUUUAUUUAUUUGAGAGUGCAAUCAGGGGAGGAGCAGAGAGAGGGAGAGAGAGAGAAUUCCAAGCUGACAGACUCUAAGCUGUCAGCACAGAGCCCGCCGCAGGGCUCAAAUUCACCAACCGUGAGAUCCUGACCUGAGCCGAGAUCAAGAGCCGGGAGCUUCCCGGGCUGAGCCACCCGGGCGCCCCUCCAAAGCUGCGUUCUCCCCACUUUUGCUUUUUAUAAAGUUGAGACAAUGACGCUGGUCCAUUCUGAAUCAUGAAAAUACUAGAAUUAGGAGACUAAUAUUGCUAGCAAAAGAGAAAAUCAUCAUAAGAAUUAGAAUACUCUUAGUAAUCUGUAUUUGGGGUGUUUUAGGGGCAUAAAGGAGGAUGGGGGGUAGUCCCUAAAGCUGUGGUCCCCGACACGUGUGCACACACGCACUUGCACACCACAGACAAUGAUCUAGGGCUCCAGGCGCAUGGACUUCUCUUCCUUCCCUCCUGGACCCUCUUGUUUUCCUCCUCUCCCAUCUCUCACUUCGAGCCCCUCAAGCCCAGGUCUCUCAGGGGGCAAGGGGCCCAUGAGGUGACCCCCCCCCAUAGCCCAAACCCCUUGGUGGCUUCCUUUGGGGCUUGCCUGGCCACACCCAAAAUGGUAGCGGCCGUCCUCACCAGCAGCCAGGGGAGAGGGAAACCCGGAUAGCGGAAGGGGCCGGGCUGUCAGUGAGCGCCUCCAGGGAAGGCCAGGCGGGAGCAAGGCCUGCGGAGGGGCCUGGGAGUCGUCCAGGAAUGCUGUGCCCCCUUUUUGCAGAUGGGAAGCCCUCGGAGGGGACAAGCAGCUGCCCGCGGUGGCCUGGCUAGGAGGUGGCCGGGCUUGGACCUGCUGCGGCCCCAUCUGGCGGCAGGACCCUCGCGGAGCUCACAGCGACCCUGGCCCCGGCUUCUCAGUCUCCUUUGCUGGGCUUGAGCAAGAAGAUGGGGUGGAGGGGCACGAGACUCAGGCUAGAAGGAGGUAGGAUGACCAGAGUGUCUGUGUGUCCAUCUGCCUGUCUCCACACUUCUUCAGACAGUCAUCACUUGUUAAAUUAAAACCAGGGGUAGCUCUCUUUGAGUUCAUGUGUAUAAAAUAGCUUACCUCCUCUGGACCAGGUAGCCAAUUCGGGGUCCCUAAGGUGAAAGUUAGUGGGUUUUUUUUUGGGUAGAUGGGCCAAACCCCCGAAUCCUAGCCAUCACUGUGGCUUAUGUUCCUAAAAAGCCUAUGGAACAGUAAACCGGUGUGUCUGCAGGGUUCAAAUGUAGGGGGACGCCUGGGUGGCUCGGUCGGUUGAGCAUCUGACUCUUGAUCUCAACUCAGGUCUUGAUCUCAGGGUCGUGAGUUCAAACCUCCUGCCCUCCCUACCCCUUGGGCUUUAGGCUGUGUGG